GGCUCGCUUCGGUAGGCCAUAUCCUAGAAUUGGAACGAUACAGAGGGAAUUAGCAUGGUCCUCACACAAGGAUGACAUGCAAAUUCAUGAAAUGUUCGUAUUCAAA
ensembl:snRNA U6 U6 spliceosomal RNA